rnacentral:rRNA from 1 species
AACACAUGCAAGUCGAACGAAUGCUUCGGCAUAGUGGCGCACGGGUGCGUAACGCGUGGGAAUCUGCCCUUGGGUUCGGAAUAACAGUGAGAAAUUACUGCUAAUACCGGAUGAUGACGAAAGUCCAAAGAUUUAUCGCCCAGGGAUGAGCCCGCGUAGGAUUAGCUAGUUGGUGUGGUAAGAGCGCACCAAGGCGACGAUCCUUAGCUGGUCUGAGAGGAUGAUCAGCCACACUGGGACUGAGACACGGCCCAGACUCCUACGGGAGGCAGCAGUGGGGAAUAUUGGACAAUGGGCGAAAGCCUGAUCCAGCAAUGCCGCGUGAGUGAUGAAGGCCUUAGGGUUGUAAAGCUCUUUUACCCGGGAUGAUAAUGACAGUACCGGGAGAAUAAG